AGAUGACUAUCAGAAUAAACAGUGAGGCAGAAAUGCUUUUCUCUGUAAUGUACUGGAAUGGUAAGAGGAAUUCAUUCUCUGGAUGACUGCUGAGAAAUUCUGUUGAUAGUGGUCUCUCGGAGCUUCAAAGGACAGGGUGUACUACAAAGACUAGUGGCUCAGAACCUAGGUUGGACUCAGUCUGAAUUCUGGCUCUGUGCUCUGCAAUUCAGUAGCUAUGUUCAGUAAAACCAGGUAAAAUCCAGAGGAAAUAAAAAAAAAAAAUCCAAAGA
rnacentral:lncRNA from 1 species